ACCUGAUCCAGCCAUGCCGCGUGUGUGAAGAAGGCCCUCGGGUUGUAAAGCACUUUCAGCGAGGAAGAACGCCUAGCGGUUAAUACCCGCUAGGAAAGACAUCACUCGCAGAAGAAGCACCGGCUAACUCCGUGCCAGCAGCCGCGGUAAUACGGAGGGUGCAAGCGUUAAUCGGAAUUACUGGGCGUAAAGCGCGCGUAGGUGGCUUGAUAAGCCGGUUGUGAAAGCCCCGGGCUCAACCUGGGAACGGCAUCCGGAACUGUCAAGCUAGAGUGCAGGAGAGGAAGGUAGAAUUCCCGGUGUAGCGGUGAAAUGCGUAGAGAUCGGGAGGAAUACCAGUGGCGAAGGCGGCCUUCUGGACUGACACUGACACUGAGGUGCGAAAGCGUGGGUAGCAAACAGGAUUAGAUACCCUGGUAGUCCACGCCGUAAACGAUGUCGACCAGCCGUUGGGUGCCUAGCGCACUUUGUGGCGAAGUUAACGCGAUAAGUCGACCGCCUGGGGAGUACGGCCGCAAGGUUAAAACUCAAAUG
rnacentral:rRNA from 1 species